GUUAAGGGUAGCCUAGUGGACAUGAGCCCGGUAUCUGCCCUGUAAGCGGAAUAUUGUGGGUUCGAUUCCCAUCCCUGGACA